GCGGCGGAGUCGGGAGGUGUGGAAUGUGCGGGUGCGCGAUCCGAGGAGCGCUGCUGCGCCGGGAUGGGAACCCCGCGGCUGCUGAUCCGGGGAGCGCCGCCCCAAACUGCAGUGACAAGCAGAAGCAGCUUUUAGCAGCAGGCAGUAGGAAGCUGAGGAGCUGGAGCUGAGGCAGAAGAGCUGGAGGAGACAGAAAUAUGGUAGGGUUUGGGGUACAACCCCUGUGGGGCUGGGAUAGGGAAUGUGGUGCUGGGGUGUGAACUGAAUGAUCACAGCUGAAAUUGCUGUAAGGGCUACCAUAGGGACUACAGAGUUAUUGCUGCAGGAGGGGUUGUCGUGUUGGGGCUCAACAACAUAGGCUCAAGAGCUGAGCUGAAACCACAUAGAGAGCUAGCGUUAAAACAAAGAGCCUGCCCUGAGAAGCAAAAGUAGCAUUGUGUGGCACUGCUGCGAAGAUGUUGAACAGAAAGUGAAAUGAGAGCUGGCAGUGAAAUAAAGCUUGUGGGACUGGAGCUGAAAUCACUGGGGCCGCGGUAGGGACUUGCAGUGCUGCAGCAUCAAUCACUGCUCAAAGGGAUACUUAUGGUAGAUCUAGAGAGUAACCAUAAAAUGGGACACAAAAUGACGAGCUGGAGACAGAAUAGUGACUGCUGGAACGGGGGUGAGGAUGGUGUUUCUAGACUUGGAGGUGCAGCCUCAAAAUUGGAGCCAAAGCCAAGGCCCUCAUGUUUAGGCCGGGAGCAGUUUCGCCUGACACAGCUGGAGAAUUGAACAGCGGGAGCUCCAAGAACGGAGAAAUAAAGCUUGUGGGUCAAGAGCUGAAAUCACCAGGGAUGGGAAAGGGGUCCUGUGGGGCGGCACGUAUGAGAACUGUACGGUUGACAUGGGGACUCCAGGAUUUGCGCCCUGAACUCACUGUAGGCCUGUGAUAACUGCUGCGGCUGAGUAUUGUGACUGCAACUAGAACACAAUGUGUGCAGUGGAAAACGGGGCGGAACUAUUGCACCAGGAAAUGAUGGCAAUGCUGGGAUAUUCCCCGAGUCUGUGAUGGCACUUCCAGCGAUGGAGACAAAAUCCCUGUGGGGCGGGCAAGUGCAUGGCAAGGCUGGGAUUCUGAAUAAAAAGGGAAAAAGAAAUGUAGCGCUGAGAACAAGGCUCUGGGCAUCCGGUUGAAAUGAGGCAGGGGCUGGCACAGUGACUGGGCAUUGCUGGGUGGCAGCUGAAAUCACACUGGGGCUGGGAUAUUGAUGGUGCGGUGGGGCUUACUGCCUCACGGGCAGGAGCUGAAGUGUUGCACAGCUGGGGCCCAGACCAAGAUGCUGCCCUUAGAAGCCGCAGAAGAGCGGAGCUGGAGCUGCAAGAACAGAGCUGCCUGUCAAAUAAAGCUUGUGGGUCAAGAGCUGAAAGAGCUGAA